AUCACUAAUCAUCAGGGAAAUGCAGAUCAAAAACAUGAAGAGAUACCACUUUGUACUUGUCAGGAUGAAUGUUACUAAAAAGAUAAGAGCUAACAAAUUUUGGUGAGAAUGUGGAGAGUACCUUUUUGCACUUUUGGUGGGAAUGUAAAUUGGUGCAGCCACUCUGGAAAACAGGAUGGAGGUUCUCCAAAAAUUAAAAGCACAAUCACCAAAUAAUCCAGCAAUGCUACCCCUGGGUACCUGUAUGAAGGAUAGGAAAACAGGAUCUCAGAGAGAGAUAUCUGUACUCCCAUCUCCAUUUCAGCCUUAUUCACAAUAGCCAAGAUAUGGAAACGACCCUCAUGUCUGGCAAUGGAAGAACAUGAUGUUUAUACAAUGGAAUAUUAUUCAGCCAUAAAAAGAAGGAUAUCUUGCCAUUUGCAACAAUGUGGAUGAAUCUGGAGGACAUUAUGUUAAGGAAUAUAAAACAAUCCAGUGUCUACCCUUCUCCACCCAGCUGUGUGCACUGGGGGCUGACCUGGUCUUCCUUUUGGCAAAUGGCCAGUGGGAGGUACAAGCAGGAGAUCUGCCAAUCAGCCCUAUUUGUACAUUUCCAGGAUCGAUGUAGGAAGAAGUACAUUGCUGUGUGUUUGUAACUCAGGCCAUCAUUUGAGGGUGCCAUUUUCCUUUUUCUUGAUAACCCCUUGGCAACUUUCCCUCCUCUACUGAGAGCAGUCUUGUUGGAGCUGUCAGUCAACGGACCCUGAGAUCCAAGCCCAGGGCAGCUGAGCCAAACUAGGCCCAUGGAAUUCUCUCACCCAGAAAACUGACUCUUCAGCCCAGUUAUUGCAAUGAAGGAAAGUGGCCAUUGCAGAGCCCUAAAAAUAAAGUUCAUAGUUUCUACCUGGAUCCCAGACUUACUCUGGUUCUCAGCUUUUUCAUGCUUGAUUCUUUUUAGUUUUUCCUUCAGUUCUGUAGACUAUCUCAUACCCUUACAAUAAAAUGUUUUGCUUGUUAU